UAGAGAAUUGUAUUUUCCUAUUUGGUGUUUUUGUAAAUUAAUCAUAAUUCUGAGACCAGUUUGUAUCAGAAGUGAGCUAAACCUGAGUGAAAACCCCUCGUGUUAAAACCACAUAAAAAAUAAAGAGUUUUUUCUUGGUUUGUUUUGUUUUGUGUUAGGAUUAGUGCGCGUCGGGUAAUUAAUAACCAGCUAAACAAUAGAAGUCUAUGCGAUGACCUGUUUGUAUAUCUGAGCGCGCGCGUGUGGGUUUGUGAAUAAUAACUCAUCAUAACUCAUCAGACUGCGAUGAUUCAUUGCUCCAUCUGACAGACAUUCUCCGCGUGUCUAGAGGAGGAGUUUCUCCAUGAUUCUCACCUGAACCGAGACCAGAGGAACACCGACGACAAGAUGUCCAGAAGAGUGGAGGUGAUCAUCAGCUCCUCAGCUCCGCAGGAUCCGGCCGAGGCUCCUCUUCACAUCACAGAGUCGAAGCCCGGAGAGCAUCCAGGAGUGAAGGGCUUCCUGAUGAUCAAGCCGGCGGUGCUGGGGUGGCUGGAGAUCCUGACCGGUGCCGGGGUGCUUGGACUCGUCUAUUGGAAUUACACUCUCUGGCUGUUAAUACCGGCUUGCUUUGUGAUUUUAAUAGGAGUCAUAACAGCUACAGCUGCAUGUACACGCAACCCCUGUCUGGUGGUCACUUCUCAAGUGCUGAAUCUGCUCAACAUCUGCAAUGUGGUGACGGCCGUCGUCGUGUUUUUCGUCAGUGUCUUGCUUGUGUUUCUCGGAGACAUUGUUGGAGCUGCUCUUCGCACACAUUUUGUGAGCAGCCGCUCCGAGAGUCCCUCUUCUCAGACCGCAAACAUCGCCUUCAUCGCCUGUAAUGUUCUGGCGCUCCUCUUCUCUCUGAUCAUCAUCAUGACCUCGUGCUGCUGGUGUAGAUCGAGAAAGCGUCUGAUGGUGAUCCACAUGAACACAGCUUCAGCUGCAGAGCUCAGUGAUGACGUGGAUUAUCCGUGUCCAGAACUUUCACCGCCAGCCUAUAGUCCGGUUCCGUCUUCAGAACCGCCGGCCUACGAGGAGGAACGACGCUCGACUCUCUCUGGAGUUUCUACUCAGAAGUGGGCAAUGAGGAAAUGGAAAGAAGAACUGCAGCGCAGCAGAAAACCCAUCCAAGUCUGACCUGAGUCAUUUAUUUCUAUGCUCUGACGUAGAGCUGUAGUGACUUUAGGGACCUAUAGACAACAGUCACUGGUGGAUGUCACAGAACUUCCUGGACGACAUCAACUGAUGCAUUUUUAAAAUUUUGUCCUUGUUUUUAAAAACAGCCACAUUAAAAGGUUUUAAGUCAUGCUUCCACAAAUUAAGGCUUAAAAGAGCAAAGAAGGUUGUGGCAUUAAAUGUUGCAUGAACUGCACAAAUGAAUAUCUUCAGUAUUUUUGUCUAAGUGCUAAUAUCUAAACAUCCUGAAAUCAAGAUAUGAAGUCUUGCUUUUUUAAAGAUGUUUAUCAAUAUGAAGGGAGUUUAAGGGGAAUGAAAACUGGUUUCCCUUUGAAUUUGAAGUAGAUUUUAAUCUGUUGGACCUGUGUUUUCAUGCUUUGAAGUGUUGCUAAUAUUGUGCUCAUGUGUUCUCCUCAGACAUUUACUUUGAGAACACAGCGAAGUAAUGAGUUCUCUUUCAUUUAUUCUUUUUUUUGUCUCAGAAAAGUCUUAAAUUUACAUUUAAAUUUACAAAUUUACUACUUGCUGAAACCCUGAAAUACAAGAUUUUACAAUUAUUUGAGGAAAGGAAAUAAUGUUUAUGACACAGUUUGUGUCAGAUUUUGAAAAAUGUGUGUUUGGUGAGUAGUUUUAGAGAGUAUUUCAGUAUUUGGAUCAGGAGCUGUACUUGCAUGACUGAAAAUAACCGUCCCAAGUUGACCGCUGAGAUAUUAUGAUAUUUGUUCAUCUGUGAACAGUUAGAAACUCAGCAAAAGUGCUUCUGCUUUACCUCAGACUCUUCACAUGUUCUUCUUGUGUGCAAUGUUAACUAUUUAAUGCUAGUUUUUAGUUUCUUUUGAAUGCUUAUGUAGACUUUGUAAACCGUUUUGAAGAUGCACUAUAAAGUUCAUGUAUUGUUAGUCUUGUUGUGUUUGAUUUCUCUCAGAAAGCUUUCUCAACCCAACACUAACAGAAACCAACAGACCUCUUGAAGACGUUCGUCCAAUCUAAUGAAUCUUUCUGGACAACAUAUUCUGUAGGUUUCUCGUCAGUGUUUUGCAUCUGAUUCAUUCAUGAGCUGUUGGAGAAAUUGCAUGAUUGUAUUGAAAUAAUGAUGUUGUUAUAGAUGUCAAUGACUACCAGCAAUUGGUUGGUUAACGACAUUCUUCAAAAUAUCAUCUGUUGUGUUCAGCAGCUGAAAUAAAUUCAUACAGGGUUGGAAUAAGUGGAUGAUGACAGAUGUUUCAAUAUUUGGUGAACUGUCACUUUAAGAGACAGAUUAGC
ensembl:lncRNA